rnacentral:rRNA from 1 species
ACUGGAGGACCGAACCGACUAAUGUUGAAAAAUUAGCGGAUGACCUGUGGCUGGGGGUGAAAGGCCAAUCAAACCGGGAGAUAGCUGGUUCUCCCCGAAAGCUAUUUAGGUAGCGCCUCGUGAAUUCAUCUCCGGGGGUAGAGCACUGUUUCGGCUAGGGGGCCAUCCCGGCUUACCAACCCGAUGCAAACUGCGAAUACCGGAGAAUGUUAUCACGGGAGACACACGGCGGGUGCUAACGUCCGUCGUGAAGAGGGAAACAACCCAGACCGCCAGCUAAGGUCCCAAAGUCAUGGUUAAGUGGGAAACGAUGUGGGAAGGCCCAGACAGCCAGGAUGUUGGCUUAGAAGCAGCCAUCAUUUAAAGAAAGCGUAAUAGCUCACUGGUCGAGUCGGCCUGCGCGGAAGAUGUAACGGGGCUAAACCAUGCACCGAAGCUGCGGCAGCGACACUGUGUGUUGUUGGGUAGGGGAGCGUUCUGUAAGCCUGUGAAGGU